GAGCGAGUCCAGACUGAACAGCAAGAGUUCACCGACGACGCCUCCAGGCACGACACUUCUCUCGGAGCGCUCCGCCGUGAGCACGACGACUAGCUGUUUCGGGAUACCAGGAACCAUGCCACCUCUGUGUCCGCCCCUGCCUUUUCGACCGCUCCCGCUCCUGCCAGGAUCCCUAUUGGAUCCCCGCUUCCUACUCAGUCUUGGGAGCCUCCCCUUCCCGUCAUCGAUGAUUCCUUUCAUCGAAAAUCCAGAAGAUACAAGAUCUCAGACACUGAACCCGCAUUCGAUGUUCCCACCAACAUCAGGCCCAGAUGACAGUCCCAUCGAAGACCAGAGCCAUCGCGACGAUGAAGGACGCGGGGAUCGAUCACUUGACGCAACGAGCACAACCGGAAGCAGUCAUUAGGCGACCUCCUCUUCAAAGGCGAACUGCCGACCACCAUGCGCUCUCUCUUUCCGACCGAAUCCUGGGGCGGGGGUCGACAGCGAAGUCGCAUGG